AUUCACUGUCACGUUUUAGACACGAAUAAAGGAACAACGUGACUCGGUAAACAUGGACUAAAGUAUCAUUUAUUAAGAUGUCUUGCAUCUUUACACUGGCGACGAGGAUCAGCAAACCAACCAAAGACGUGUUCUACCUUCAAGCAGACAAGUAUUGGUGAUUGUGAAACAGCAGGUUCUUCUACAUCAGGGGUAUUACCUUCCUCAAAGAAGAAAACAAGGUUUUCCAACAACAAUGUUUUGGAUACUGACAGAAGCUCUGCCAGCGAUUUCGAUCUGCCUAAUUCUGAGAGUGACGAUGAUCAGCUCUAUACCAAGAAUAAAGUCUAUGGUAAGAAUUAAGUAAAGUCAUUAAGUUUCCCAAAUUUCAUAUCUUGGUCAUAGUAUUUAUGUGAUACAUAUGAUACAAGCAGUUCCGUGUGAUAAUUAUAAUAACAAAUAUUUGAAGCACAAAAUUCAUUUUUAGCCCCCCCCCCCCAAAAAAAAAAUGAUAAUAAUAAUAAUGUCCAUGUAUUGUAUAAAUUUGGUAAACAAAUCAUGAAAUUCUCAAACUUGUCAUGGGUAAUUCUUAUCAAAUUUAGGAAAUGAAUCUUGCAUUUUCUGUUAUCUUCUGCCUCUGCAUUUACUUAUCAAGAACUUGUAGUUUCUGUGCAUCAUAUGUGCACAUUACAUUUGUUGGACUGGUAAUAAUUGACAACAUACUGUGAAACUGGUUUUGUACUAGUAUGUGCUUGUAUCUGGCCACUCUCCUCUGUUAACAUUACAGAUGUUUUUAGCGCUGUCAAAUAUGCCUUUACACUUGGGGAAGC